rnacentral:rRNA from 1 species
AACGAACGCUGGCGGCAUGCCUAACACAUGCAAGUCGAACGCUCAUCUUCGGAUGGGAGUGGCGCACGGGUGAGUAACGCGUGGGAACCUGCCCUGGGGUGGGGAUAACCGAUGGAAACGUCGGCUAAUACCGCAUACGUCCUGAGGGAGAAAGAUUUAUCGCCCUGGGAGGGCCCGCGUCGGAUUAGCUAGUUGGUGGGUAACGCCUACCAAGGCGAUGAUCCGUAGCUGGCUGAGAGGAUGAUCAGCCACACUGGGACUGAGACACGGCCCAGACUCCUACGGGAGGCAGCAGUGGGGAAUAUUGGACAAUGGGCGCAAGCCUGAUCCAGCAAUGCCGCGUGAGUGAUGAA